rnacentral:rRNA from 1 species
AUUGAACGCUGGCGGCAGGCCUAACACAUGCAAGUCGAGCGAGUGGCGGACGGGUGAGUAAUGUCUGGGGAACUGCCUGAUGGAGGGGGAUAACUACUGGAAACGGUGGCUAAUACCGCAUACCAUCGGAUGUUCCCAGAUGGGAUUAGCUGGUGGGGGGGGUAACGGCUCACCUAGGCGACGAUCCCUAGCUGGUCUGAGAGGAUGACCAGCCACACUGGAACGGAGACACGGUCCAGACUCCUACGGGAGGCAGCAGUGGUGAAUAUUGCACAAUGGGCGCAAGCCUGAUGCAGCCAUGCCGCGUGUAUGAAGAAGGCCUUCGGGUUGUAAAGUACUUUCAGCGGGGAGGCGUUACCCGCAGAAGAAGCACCGGCUAACUCCGUGCCAGCAGCCGCGGUAAUUC